GGCCGCCUGGCGAAAUGGCAUCGCGUCUGACUACGAUAUCGGCGAUCAGGAGAUUGCAGGUUCGACCCCUGCGGUGGUCA